rnacentral:rRNA from 1 species
AUUGAACGCUGGCGGCAUGCCUUACACAUGCAAGUCGAACGGCAGCACGGGUGCUUGCACCUGGUGGCGAGUGGCGAACGGGUGAGUAAUACAUCGGAACAUGUCCUGUAGUGGGGGAUAGCCCGGCGAAAGCCGGAUUAAUACCGCAUACGAUCUACGGAUGAAAGCGGGGGCCCUUCGGGCCUCUCGCUAUAGGGUUGGCCGAUGGCUGAUUAGCUAGUUGGUGGGGUAAAGGCCUACCAAGGCGACGAUCAGUAGCUGGUCUGAGAGGACGGCCAGCCACACUGGGACUGAGACACGGCCCAGACUCCUAAGGGAGGCAGCAGUGGGGAAUUUUGGACAAUGGGCGAAAGCCUGAUCCAGCAAUGCCGCGUGUGUGAAGAAGGCCUUCGGGUUGUAAAGCACAUUUGUCCGGAAAGAAAUCCUUGGCCCUAAUACGGUCGGGGGAUGACGGUACCGGAAGAAUAAGCACCGGCUAACUACGUG